CCUUCACAAGAAGGGCAGCAGAAGUUAUUGGAGGAAGGAGAGAUUCCUCCGUUUACAAUACCAGCAAGCAGAAAAUAUCAGUGAUGUGGAAACUACUUCAUGAUUUUGUGUUGGAUGGAAAUGACAACCUUGAGGAUGAUUGCAGUGAGAAUGCAGAUCUGAAUACGGAGCAGAGACCAUGUAUGGAGUCUGGUAAUGGCCUAGAACUUGCUCAAGCCGCUUCUAAUGCGAACCCUGUCACACUUGAGUCACUAGAGGAACGCCUACAAGAAGCUAUGGAAGUAUUAAAAUGUCAGGAACAUGCCUGGUUUGUCAUCAUGUGCUCACACCUGUGCCUCCUGAAACAGCUGCUGCUACUGUUUCUUUCCUACCUGGUCAUGACUUGACAUCUGCUCACAGUGUUACUGGAACUACAAACUAGGAUCUGAAAUUGAAUUGCCGCUACCAAAAAUAAAAAUGUAAACUUUUCCUGUUUAAUUACA
rnacentral:lncRNA from 14 species